GCGACUGUGGCUCAGUAGGAAGAGUAGUUGUCUUGCAAUCAGAAGGUUGUGGGUUCAAUGUGCCCCUGGGCAAGGCA